GUGUUCACCUCGGCCGCACAUACACUAAAAGUGGAACUGUGCAAAGAUUAGCAUGGACCCUGUGCAAAGAUGACACAAAAAUUCAUGAGGAAGCAUUUCUUUCU
ensembl:snRNA U6 U6 spliceosomal RNA